GACGAACGCUGGCGGCGUGCUUAACACAUGCAAGUCGAACGGAAAGGCCCUGCUUUUGUGGGGUGCUCGAGUGGCGAACGGGGGAGUGACACGUGAGUAACCUGCCCUUGUCUUUGUGAUAACUUCACGAAACACGGGCUAAUACCGGAUAGGAGCUCCUGCUGCGUGGUGUGCGUUGGAAAGUUUCGGCGGUUGGGGAUGGACUCGCGGCUUCUCAGCUUGUUUGUGGGGUAGUGGCUUACCAAGGCUUUGACGGGUAGCCGGCCUGAGAGGGUGACCGGCCACAUGGGGACUGAGAUACGGACCAGACUCCUACGGGAGGCAGCAGUGGGGAAUAUUGCACAAUGGGCGGAAGCCUGAUGCAGCAACGCCGCGUGCGGGAUGACGGCCUUCGGGUUGUAAACCGCUUUCGCCUGUGACGAAGCGUGAGUGACGGUAAUGGGUAAAGAAGCACCGGCUAACUACGUG
rnacentral:rRNA from 1 species